rnacentral:rRNA from 1 species
GAUGAACGCUGGCGGCGUGCCUAAUACAUGCAAGUCGAGCGAACAGACGAGGAGCUUGCUCCUCUGACGUUAGCGGCGGACGGGUGAGUAACACGUGGAUAACCUACCUAUAAGACUGGGAUAACUUCGGGAAACCGGAGCUAAUACCGGAUAAUAUAUUGAACCGCAUGGUUCAAUAGUGAAAGACGGUUUUGCUGUCACUUAUAGAUGGAUUCGCGCCGCAUUAGCUAGUUGGUAAGGUAACGGCUUACCAAGGCAACGAUGCGUAGCCGACCUGAGAGGGUGAUAGGCCACACUGGAACUGAGACACGGUCCAGACUCCUACGGGAGGCAGCAGUAGGGAAUCUUCCGCAAUGGGCGAAAGCCUGACGGAGCAACGCGGCGUGAGUGAUGAAGGUCUUCGGAUCGUAAAACUCUGUUAUUAGGGAAGAACAAAUGUGUAAGUAACUAUGCACGUCUUGACGGUACCUAAUCAGAAAGCCACGGCUAACUACGUG